CGAGAAUACCUCGUUUGAAUUGAUAUUUGAAUAUGAUUGAAAUCAAUUUCAAACCUAAUACAUGUUGAUUACAAUAGUUUAUCACCUUGCAUUCUCAUGCUCAUGCAUCAUCUUGUUUGCAUAUGAUUGCUAUUGAUUGUUGCCAUUCAUUUCGGAAGGCUCCGCACAACCGGAUUCCACCGAAUAUCCGUCUGACGGAUAUUGUCCCUCC
rnacentral:lncRNA from 1 species